rnacentral:ncRNA from 1 species
AUACAACAUGUGAGGUGAAAGUCUCAUGCACGGUGUGGAACGGGGGAAAGCUGAAAAGAGAAUGGAACAUCACUGUUUUACACUUAGUAGGCUACCUAUCGUUAU